UCCUGGCUGGGGGGAAAAUCUGGAUUUAGUAAUAGUGGUUGAAGUAACGGAAAGGGAUUAAUUAACUUGUAAACCUCCUUAUAUUUAUACCAAAUCUCCAAAGUCGCCAUAACCGUAGGAUGGGAUCUAACAGUCUUAGGAACAUUCUGUUUCUGGGACCACAAUAGGUUACUUAGUGGAAUUACUGUCGUAGCCUGCUCAAUAUUGAUCCAUACUUUAUCUUUGUUUUUCAGAUACCAAUGAAAGGUUCUUACCAAAUGAACAGAGAUAUAAUAACGAAAAGGAUCGGGUAGGGCUAGGCCGCCCCUAUCCUUUGCUAGGAGCAUAGAGCUAUCAACUGACCUCGCAGGACACAUUUGUGAGCUUCCCAAAGAAUCCCAGGGUUGGUAUCAGCUCACCUUUCAGUGACGCAGUCAUAUCCUGAAGCAUCUCCUUGAUAUCUGAGCGAGAGGGGAGAUUAGCGAGGUAAGUUUGUAUACUCACAUUCUCAUCCCCUUCGCCAUCGCUGUCUUGAUCAGAGGAGUCGUGCGCCAUUUCAGAGAGCUGAUCGCGUUCCACAGCAGCCGGCGCCAUCUUGGAAUGUGUGCGCUCAUUUUUUUUCCGCACAAACAGCGGCGCCAGUUCCUGCUGGGAUAAAGAUUGUCUUCUCGCAGGGGUCUUCUCCCUUUCCGCCUUAUUCUUGCCUGUU